rnacentral:rRNA from 1 species
ACGGGUGAGUAACACGUGGGCCAUCUGCCCUUCACUCUGGGACAAGCCCUGGAAACGGGGUCUAAUACCGGAUAUCACUUCCACUCGCAUGGGUGGGGGUUGAAAGCUCCGGCGGUGAAGGAUGAGCCCGCGGCCUAUCAGCUUGUUGGUGAGGUAAUGGCUCACCAAGGCGACGACGGGUAGCCGGCCUGAGAGGGCGACCGGCCACACUGGGACUGAGACACGGCCCAGACUCCUACGGGAGGCAGCAGUGGGGAAUAUUGCACAAUGGGCGAAAGCCUGAUGCAGCGACGCCGCGUGAGGGAUGACGGCCUUCGGGUUGUAAACCUCUUUCAUCAGGGAAGAAGCGAAAGUGACGGUACCUGCACAAGAAGCGCCGGCUAACUACGUGCCAGCAGCCGCGGUAAUACGUAGGGCGCAAGCGUUGUCCGGAAUUAUUGGGCGUAAAGAGCUCGUAGGCGGUCUGUCGCGUCGGAUGUGAAAGCCCGGGGCUUAACCCCGGGUCUGCAUUCGAUACGGGCAGACUAGAGUGUGGUAUGGGAGAUCGGAAUUCCUGGUGUAGCGGUGAAAUGCGCAGA